rnacentral:rRNA from 1 species
CAAGCGAUGUGGAGGCAAACCCCUAAAAAUAGGUCUCAGUUCAGAUUGCAGGCUGCAACCCGCCUGCAUGAAGUCGGAAUUGCUAGUAAUCGCGGAUCAGCAUGCCGCGGUGAAUACGUUCCCGGGCCUUGUACACACCGCCCGUCACACCAUGGGAGCCGGUAAUACCCGAAGUCAGUAGUCCAACCUCGUGAGGACGCUGCCGAAGGUAGGAUUGGCGACUGGGGUGAAGUCGUAACAAGGUAAC